rnacentral:rRNA from 1 species
CCUCGCCGGAAGACCAAGGGUUCCUGUCCAACGUUAAUCGGGGCAGGGUAAGUCGACCCCUAAGGCGAGGCCGAAAGGCGUAGUCGAUGGGAAACGGGUUAAUAUUCCCGUACUUCUUACAAUUGCGAUGGGGGGACGGAGAAGGCUAGGUGGGCCUGGCGACGGUUGUCCAGGUUCAAGUGCGUAGGCUUAAGAGUUAGGUAAAUCCGGCUCUUUUUAAGGCUGAGACACGACGUCGAGCAUCUACGGAUGUGAAGUCAUUGAUGCCAUGCUUCCAGGAAAAGCCUCUAAGCUUCAGAUUGUAAGGAAUCGUACCCCAAACCGACACAGGUGGUCGGGUAGAGAAUACCAAGGCGCUUGAGAGAACUCGGGUGAAGGAACUAGGCAAAAUGGUACCGUAACUUCGGGAGAAGGUACGCUCUUGAUGGUGAAGUCCCUUGCGGAUGGAGCUGACGAGAGUCGCAGAUACCAGGUGGCUGCAACUGUUUAUUAAAAACACAGCACUGUGCAAAAUCGUAAGAUGACGUAUACGGUGUGACGCCUGCCCGGUGCCGGAAGGUUAAUUGAUGGGGUUAGACUUCGGUCGAAGCUCUUGAUCGAAGCCCCGGUAAACGGCGGCCGUAACUAUAACGGUCCUAAGGUAGCGAAAUUCCUUGUCGGGUAAGUUCCGACCUGCACGAAUGGCGUAAUGAUGGCCACGCUGUCUCCACCCGAGACUCAGUGAAAUUGAAAUCGCUGUGAAGAUGCAGUGUACCCGCGGCUAGACGGAAAGACCCCGUGAACCUUUACUACAGCUUGGCACUGAACAUUGACCCUACAUGUGUAGG